rnacentral:rRNA from 1 species
GACGAACGCUGGCGGCGUGCCUAAUACAUGCAAGUUGAGCGCUGAAGGUUGGUACUUGUACCAACUGGAUGAGCAGCGAACGGGUGAGUAACGCGUGGGGAAUCUGCCUUUGAGCGGGGGACAACAUUUGGAAACGAAUGCUAAUACCGCAUAAAAACUUUAAACACAAGUUUUAAGUUUGAAAGAUGCAAUUGCAUCACUCAAAGAUGAUCCCGCGUUGUAUUAGCUAGUUGGUGAGGUAAAGGCUCGCCAAGGCGAUGAUACAUAGCCGACCUAAGAGGGUGAUCGGCCACAUUGGGACUGAGACACGGCCCAAACUCCUACGGGAGGCAGCAGUAGGGAAUCUUCGGCAAUGGACGAAAGUCUGACCGAGCAACGCCGCGUGAGUGAAGAAGGUUUUCGGAUCGUAAAACUCUGUUGGUAGAGAAGAACGUUGGUGAGAGUGGAAAGCUCAUCAAGUGACGGUAACUACCCAGAAAGGGACGGCUAACUACGUG